GACGAACGCUGGCGGCGUGCUUAACACAUGCAAGUCGAACGGAAAGGCCCUGCUUUUGUGGGGUGCUCGAGUGGCGAACGGGUGAGUAACACGUGAGUAACCUGCCCUUGACUUUGGGAUAACUUCAGAAAACUGGGGCUAAUACCGGAUAGGAGCUCCUGCUGCAUGGUGGGGGUUGGAAAGUUUCGGCGGUUGGGGAUGGACUCGCGGCUUAUCAGCUUGUUGGUGGGGUAGUGGCUUACCAAGGCUUUGACGGGUAGCCGGCCUGAGAGGGUGACCGGCCACAUUGGGACUGAGAUACGGCCCAGACUCCUACGGGAGGCAGCAGUGGAGAAUAUUGCACAAUGGGCGGAAGCCUGAUGCAGCAACGCCGCGUGCGGGAUGACGGCCUUCGGGUUGUAAACCGCUUUCGCCUGUGACGAAGCGUGAGUGACGGUAAUGGGUAAAGAAGCACCGGCUAACUACGUG
rnacentral:rRNA from 1 species